CUGAGUUUUAUCUCAUGUUCCUUUUCUUAUGAGGGAUACAGGGUCCAUGCUGCUCAGGCCGACUUCUCCUGUAAAAGGGGCUGAAUCUGAGUCAUUAGAGAACCACAUAUGGUUUCACUUCCAGUGACAUCUGGAAAGCAAGGGGUCAGGUAGCAUCACAGAGAUGUCCCGGUGAAAACGGGGACUGAGCUGACGCUGUUGUUCUCUUUGGGAGAUGAGUAGGGAGUGAAAUAGUCAGACCUUGAUGUGGAGGGAAUUUUAGUGAAGAAUUAGAAUAAUGUUUCUUUUCCUUUACUCACCUUCUCAAAUUACCUAAAGAGGAGAUGUAAGGACAGAGAAAAAUAGGGAAGAACAGCAGAAGGAGCUACUUGAGGGAUGACAGGAAUUUAAAUAAAAUCACAACCCUCCAGAAAGAACCGAAAGGUUUCCAACCUCAUUUACCUGAUAGAUGGGGUUUUACCAUGUUGACCAGGAUGGCCUUGAUCUCUUGACCUCGUGAUCUCCCUGCCACGGCCUCCCUGAACUGCUGGAAUUACAGGCUUCCAAGUGAGAAGUUCAGGGCUUCACAAUUGAGAACCAGAAAGAAAAGGAGAAACUGGCCUUUGUUGAGUAUCAACUGUCAACAUUCUUGGAUAAGAAAGUCACGGAUACAGAGUCCUGUCCUAACUCGGAAACUCUGCUCCACCACUAUCUGCAGAGGAGAAGAAGUAUUUAAGCUGAAUACGUCCAAGUUGAUGUGGAUAAAAACCCAAGGAACUUUUCCUAAAGGCUAAGAAUUCCUUCUGCAACAACCCUGACAAAUGAGCAUGGUACUUCCAGGAAAAUUUCUCCAGGGUAGUGAAGCUCAUUACCAGAGAGCCACCCAGACAGCAAGAUGAAGCUUAACAAGGAAUACAAGAACAGCCUCCACUUGGAUUCAAAAUCAGCAACUGCAAAAAUUUCAAGAUAAAAAGACCUCCCUAAUGAUAAAGAAACACAUACAGCAAAAACCUUCAGUUGACUCUGUCUUAUUUCAGCUAUGGAAUUUUAGAAUUGGGUGUAUGUGCACCUGAGCAGUAUUCUUUUCUUUGAUAUUUACAGAACCUGUUGGCCAACAUGUUUCCAGAAACAGAGAACCACUCACGACUUUCUAAUAAAGCUAUUCCACAUGUAGACAAACAUAUUCAAUGCUAGUACUAAAAUCUGUUCCUGUUUCGAAUUCUCAUAUCAUGCCUUAACUCCUGUCUUUUGGAACAACUUAGACUGUUUAUGUCUUAACCACAAACACCCUACCACAUACUUGAAGAAGAUUCCCAUAGUUACAGAACACAACUCUUUCCCAAAUAAAAUUUACCUUCACUUUUCCUGAUGAGACAUUGAAAUCUAUUAUUCUUCCCUAGUAGGAUGGAAGUUCUUUGAGUAAAUAUGAGGCAUGUGUGUCAAGGAAAAAGUGGAUGUUUGCUUAAACAAAGAAGUGAGAUCCUGGGAGAAGUCCAACAUGUCACAAUAUUUACCCUGAAAGACACUCAGGCUUAAAUAAAAAUAAAUCAAAUCUUUUAAUCUCCUCUUAACUUAUUUACCCAAAUGCGACAAUGAAUUUUCAUAUAUCACUUUAAAUUCCUGACACACACAAGCCAAAUAUUGAACGCUGAUU
ensembl:lncRNA